GCUUCCCCUAGCGGCGAGGAAGCCUGUCCUGUACGUGGGCGCCUGGGGCAGGUGGAGCCAGUGGCGCAACCGGCUAGGGGAUCU
rnacentral:ncRNA from 2 species